GAUGAACGCUGGCGGCGUGCCUAAUACAUGCAAGUCGAGCGAACAGACGAGGAGCUUGCUCCUCUGACGUUAGCGGCGGACGGGUGAGUAACACGUGGAUAACCUACCUAUAAGACUGGGAUAACUUCGGGAAACCGGAGCUAAUACCGGAUAAUAUAUUGAACCGCAUGGUUCAAUAGUGAAAGACGGUUUUGCUGUCACUUAUAGAUGGAUCCGCGCCGCAUUAGCUAGUUGGUAAGGUAACGGCUUACCAAGGCAACGAUGCGUAGCCGACCUGAGAGGGUGAACGGCCACACUGGAACUGAGACACGGUCCAGACUCCGACGGGAGGCAGCAGUAGGGAAUCUUCCGCAAUGGGCGAAAGCUUGACGGAGCAACGCCGCGUGAGUGAUGAAGGUCUUCGGAUCGUAAGACUCUGUUAUUAGGGAAGAACAAAUGUGUAAGUAACUAUGCACGUCUUGACGGUACCUAAUCAGAAAGCCACGGCUAACUACGUG
rnacentral:rRNA from 1 species